AGCAGGGUGGCGCAGUAGAAACGUUCUGGGCUCAUAACCCAGAGGUCAAUGCAUCGAGACCAUUUCCUGCUA
rnacentral:tRNA from 1 species